UCGAAGAACCCGGCGAACUGGCGCGCAGCACGGUAACCGCAAACUUAAAGGCAGUUCGGUACUCGCACGUGGGCCUUCGUUCGUGUCGGAUGUGUGCGCGUAUGAAAAUAUCGCCAAUUGUAAAGGACACCGUCCGUUACCACGUACGUGUCAUCAACAGUGUUCGCGUUAAUAAUUAUCGUUGUAAAUCGUCUCAGGUCUCAGGGAAUACCUACUCCAAUCUAGUAUUAAUGAAUAAAAUUUCUUCGUAACGCGAACGACUGUUGAACGUGUGCAACCGUUAAAUUUUGUAAUUUCGGUUUUAUCGGUCAAUAGAUUAUUUUUACUGUUAGAAGGAUAUCCGUAUUGUUGGUGUGAAUCUCUUUUUAUUGGUGUGUUUGGGAUUAAAGAAACAAGUUCAGUGCAUCGGAAGAGGACAGUGCUUCAAAAAAUUAGAGGUAACAUCCUGUGACGAGAAUCAUCAUUUUGUCUAAAUGGUGGUAAGCCUGUGACGUGAUUAACCGUUGACCAAAGUACCAGAGAAAGGUGUCAAAAUUGAGCAGGUCGUCCUCCCGUCCGGCGGUGAUCUCGCCAAAAUUUGGAGGAUGUUGAUGCCCGGUGCUGCUGGUCUCAGUGCCGUAGGCGCGGUGGGCGCCGUUGGGGCGCCAGGGCCGGACGAGCUGGUGUCGGGCCUUGGCGCUUUGGCCGGCACUACGCCUCAACAGAAGGAUACCACUUGGACGAAACUUUUCGUCGGUGGUUUGCCGUAUCAUACCACCGACAAGAGUCUCAGGGAACAUUUCAACGUGUAUGGGGACAUUGAAGAGGCAGUGGUCAUCACUGACAGGCAGACCGGCAAAAGUAGAGGUUACGGUUUCGUGAUCAUGGGAGACAGGCCAGCGGCAGAGAGGGCGUGCAAAGACCCGAACCCCAUAAUCGACGGUCGCAAAGCGAACGUCAACUUGGCGAUUCUUGGAGCUAAACCCAGGGGUAAUCUGCAAGCGAGGUGCCACCAGGCUACGUGUACCAGUCGCCGUACCUGGCGGCUGCCGCGCCAGGUGGUUUGGUGCCGCUUCCGGCCACGCAGUUGACCCACGCGGCUGCCAUGGCCGCGGCCUCUCAGUUCUACGAGUAUCAGAACGUCGCGGCUGCUGCCGCCACUUAUCCGGGGACGUCGUACAAUUUCGCCGAGGCUUAUCCCUAUACCAGCGCAGCCGCCGCUGGUAUGUGUUUGAAAAGUGUCCAGAGCAAGGACAGCAACGGGCUGAUACACCACCACCAGCAGCACAACGGCAGCAGCCCUGCGGUGCUGGCACACCAACGAUUGGAGAAAGCUCUCCUGCCGCCAUUUCUGCCGUCCGUGCUACGUGGCAACGCGAAUGCAGCGGCAGCGAGUUACGUGACACCAUACACGUAUGCAACGCUACCAGGUGCAGCGGCAGGAUUACCAGCAGCAGCGGCUGCAGCUGCAACAGCGGCGGGCGCAGCCUUCCCAGGACUACCGUAUCAAACGACGCCUCAGGAAGCAAGAUUGCAAUAGAAGUUGAAUGAAUUGCCGCGAGGUGGAGGUUCGAUGCACACCAAUUGUUCCGCCAGCGUUAAAAAAAGAAAAAAAAAAAAGAGAAGAAAAAAGAA